rnacentral:misc_RNA from 1 species
GAUGAAGAACGUAGCGAAAUGCGAUAAGUAGUGUGAAUUGCAGAAUUCAGUGAAUCAUCGAAUCUUUGAACGCACAUUGCGCCCCUUGGUAUUCCAUGGGGCAUGCCUGUUCGAGCGUCAUCUACACCCUCAAGCUCUGCUUGGUGUUGGGCGUCUGUCCCGCCCCCGCGCGUGGACUCGCCCCAAAUCCAUUGGCAGCGUUCCUUGCCCCCUCUCGCGCAGCACAUUGCGCUUCUCGAAGGCGGCUCCGGGACGCGAUCCAGCAAGAUGACCACCGUCUUUGACCUCGGAUCAGGUAGGGAUACCCGCUGAACUUAAGCAUAUCAAUAAGCGGAGGA